UACAGAGGGUGCGAGCGUUAAUCGGAAUUACUGGGCGUAAAGCGUGCGCAGGCGGCGCGUUAAGACAGGUGUGAAAGCCCCGAGCUUAACUUGGGAAUUGCGCUUGUGACUGGCGUGCUGGAGUGUGGCAGAGGUAGGUGGAAUUCCACGUGUAGCAGUGAAAUGCGUAGAGAUGUGGAGGAACACCGAUGGCGAAGGCAGCCUCCUGGGCCAGCACUGACGCUCAUGCACGAAAGCGUGGGGAGCAAACAGG
rnacentral:rRNA from 1 species